UACUCCUACGGGAGGCAGCAGUGGGGAAUAUUGCACAAUGGGCGCAAGCCUGAUGCAGCGACGCCGCGUGCGGGAUGGAGGCCUUCGGGUUGUAAACCGCUUUUAUAGGGGGGCAAGCUAUGCCUGUGUGGUGUGGUGAGUGGACUUUAUGAAUAAGCACCGGCUAACUACGUGCCAGCAGCCGCGGUAAUACGUAGGGUGCAAGCGUUGUCCGGAUUUAUUGGGCGUAAAGGGCUCGUAGGCGGUUUGUUGCGUCUGGUGUGAAAGCUUACUGCUUAACGGUAGGUUGCGCUGGAUACGGGCAGGCUUGAGUGCAGUAGGGGAGACUGGAAUUCUCGGUGUAACGGUGGAAUGUGUAGAUAUCGGGAAGAACACCUAUGGCGAAGGCAGGUCUCUGGGCUGUUACUGACGCUGAGGAGCGAAAGCGUGGGGAGCGAACAGGAUUAGAUACCCUGGUAGUCCAUGCUGUAAACGGUAGACGCUGGAUGUGGGGCCCAUUUCCACGGGUUCUGUGUCGGAGCUAACGCGUUAAGCGUCCCGCCUGGGGAGUACGGCCGCAAGGUUAAAACUCAAAGGAAUUGACGGA
rnacentral:rRNA from 1 species